rnacentral:rRNA from 1 species
UACGUAGGUGGCGAGCGUUGUCCGGAUUUACUGGGCGUAAAGGGCGUGCAGGCGGUCUGCUAAGUCUAGGGUGAAAGCUCCCGGCUCAACUGGGAGAGGUCCUUGGAUACUGACAGACUUGAGGGAGGCAGAGGAGAAUGGAAUUCCCGGUGUAGUGGUGAUAUGCGUAGAUAUCGAGAGGAACACCAGUGGCGAAGGCGAGUCCCUGGACAACACCUGACACUGAGGCACGAAAGCUAGGGGAGCAAACAGG